GGGGGCGUAGCUCGGAUGGUAGAGUGCUCGCUUAGCAUGCGAGAGGUACUGGGAUCGAUACCCAGCGCCUACA
rnacentral:tRNA from 1 species